UGGGGAAUAUUGGACAAUGGGCGCAAGCCUGAUCCAGCCAUGCCGCGUGAGUGAUGAAGGCCCUAGGGUUGUAAAGCUCUUUCGCCAGGGACGAUAAUGACGGUACCUGGAUAAGAAGCCCCGGCUAACUUCGUGCCAGCAGCCGCGGUAAUACGAAGGGGGCUAGCGUUGUUCGGAAUCACUGGGCGUAAAGCGCACGUAGGCGGAUCUUUAAGUCAGGGGUGAAAUCCCGAGGCUCAACCUCGGAACUGCCUUUGAUACUGGAGGUCUCGAGUUCGGGAGAGGUGAGUGGAACUGCGAGUGUAGAGGUGAAAUUCGUAGAUAUUCGCAAGAACACCAGUGGCGAAGGCGGCUCACUGGCCCGAUACUGACGCUGAGGUGCGAAAGCGUGGGGAGCAAAACAGGAUUAGAUACCCUGGUAGUCCACGCCGUAAACGAUGGAUGCUAGCCGUUGGGGAGCUUGCUCUUCAGUGGCGCAGCUAACGCUUUAAGCAUCCCGCCUGGGGAGUACGGUCGCAAGAUUAAAACUCAAAUGAAUUGACGGGGUCAUAGCUGUUUCCUG
rnacentral:rRNA from 1 species